UGGGGAAUAUUGCACAAUGGGCGCAAGCCUGAUGCAGCCAUGCCGCGUGUAUGAAGAAGGCCUUCGGGUUGUAAAGUACUUUCAGCGGGGAGGAAGGCGAUGCGGUUAAUAACCGCGUCGAUUGACGUUACCCGCAGAAGAAGCACCGGCUAACUCCGUG
rnacentral:rRNA from 1 species